rnacentral:rRNA from 1 species
GACGAACGCUGGCGGCGUGCCUAAUACAUGCAAGUCGAGCGAAGUUUUUCUGGUGCUUGCACUAGAAAAACUUAGCGGCGCACGGGUGAGUAACACGUAAAGAACCUGCCUCAUAGACUGGGACAACUAUUGGAAACGAUAUCUAAUACCGGAUAACAGUAUUUCUCGCAUGAGAGAUAUUUAAAAGUUGGUUAUGCUAACACUAUGAGAUGGCUUUGCGGUGCAUUAGCUAGUUGGUGGGGUAAAGGCCCACCAAGGCGACGAUGCAUAGCCGACCUGAGAGGGUGAUCGGCCACACUGGAACUGAGACACGGCCCAGACUCCUACGGGAGGCAGCAGUAGGGAAUCUUCCGCAAAGGACGAAAGCCUGACGGAGCAACGCCGCGUGAGUGAAGAAGGAUUUCGGUUCGUAAAGCUCUGUUGUUAGGGAAGAAUGGAUAUGUAGUAACUAUACAUGUAAGAGACGGUACCUAACCAGAAAGCCACGGCUAACUACGUG